AAAAGGGAAGCAUCAAAAGAAAAUCACAAGAUCGAUCCUGAUUGAUCAGAAAGCCCACUUGUGAGCUUCUGUGACUCUCACACCUAUUUAGUGUUGCUUGCGCUCUUAAACUUUGCUUCAGUAAGGCAAGGCAAACCUAGCUAGCUCUAGCUUCCCCAGUUCUACUUCAAUUCUCAGCUUUUAAUUAAGUUAGCAUGGCUAAUUAUCAAGGCUUUAUGACCACGAGAGAGGAUAAAGUGUUUUAUCAUAUCAGGCACCCAUAUCCCGUGCUAUACGAUCAUGUCUACCCUGCAGAAGAAGUUUCAUACUUCCCAGCACAGGUAUCAGAAUUCCAACACAUAAUAGAAAACUCCACCAAGACUGCCACCGUAAAGACGGUGGAAGUUCCAGCUCAGAAGCCUCAUCAGAUAAAAGGUGGCGUUCUUACUAGCACUGAGGCACGAAAGAUCUACGGGCCUGUAAAGACGAUGGAAGUGUCAAUUACCUAGAAAUACCCAGAAACAUAGUCAGCCUUUCUUCCUCUCCUCCUAGUGAUCCUUUUAACUACUAGAUAUACCCUAUAUAUCUGCGCAGCGUGUAUCUUUUUCUUUUUUCUUUUUUUUCUUAUCUUGGAUUUCCAAUGGACAUGACUUCCGUGGCUAUCCAACAAAGAUUGACCCUGUGAAAGUUCCCGCCAGUCAAUAUGCCAGCGAGUUGUCCCGUCCUCAUGAUAAGCUUGUAAUUAAUAGAAUAUGUACGUACCUACAUACGUAUUUCGUGCAUGUAUUCUCGAUCUAUAAUAUCUCUUUGGUUUUAAUAUUUGCAUAAUCUAUUGUACAAUUCAGGAU